rnacentral:rRNA from 1 species
UACGUAGGGUGCAAGCGUUGUCCGGAAUUAUUGGGCGUAAAGAGCUCGUAGGCGGUCUGUUGCGUCGGCUGUGAAAACCCGGGGCUCAACCCCGGGCCUGCAGCCGAUACGGGCAGACUAGAGUUCGGCAGGGGAGACUGGAAUUCCUGGUGUAGCGGUGAAAUGCGCAGAUAUCAGGAGGAACACCGGUGGCGAAGGCGGGUCUCUGGGCCGAUACUGACGCUGAGGAGCGAAAGCCAGGGGAGCAAACGGG